AAGAGAUUCCAUAUGGACUCCAAAAUCAUCAUCAUCUUACUCUUUCACUUUGCUUCGAGACUCAUCAACUAUUGAUCAUGUCAUGAUUUUGCAUUAUGGUAGGACUGCUUAGUUAAAUCUUUAUUUCAAUAGUUUUUGCACUAAGUCUAACAUUUUUCGAUCAUCAUAUUGUGUACUUUCGAUCGAGUUUUAAUUAGAUCUCCCUCUCUUUUUUUGUUUG